GCACAAGACCGAGUGGCGCUCCUCGUACGAGGAGUAUGCAGACAAACCCUUGGAGAAGCCCCUGAAGCUGGUUCUCAAGUUUAGAGGAAGUGAAGUGACUGAACUCUUGGGAUCUGGCCAUGAUUCCAGUUACUACGAUGACAGGUCAGACCAUGAGCGAGAGAGGCACAAAAAAAAGAAGAAAAAGAAGAAAAAGUCAGAGAAGGAGAAAUACCUGGACGAUGACGAAAGAAGGAAACGGAAGGAAGAGAAGAAGCGGAAACGGGAAAAGGAACACUGUGACACGGAGGGAGAGGCUGAUGACUUUGAUCCUGGGAAGAAGGUAGAGGUGGAGCCACCUCCCGAUCUGCCAGUCCGAGCGUGCCGGACACAGCCAGCUGAAAAUGAGAGCACGCCUAUUCAGCAACUACUAGAACAUUUCCUCCGCCAGCUCCAGAGAAAAGAUCCUCGUGGGUUUUUUGCUUUUCCUGUCACGGAUGCAAUUGCUCCUGGAUACUCAAUGAUAAUAAAACAUCCAAUGGAUUUUGGCACAAUGAAAGACAAAAUCAUGGCUAAUGAAUACAAAUCAGUCACGGAAUUUAAGGCAGAUUUCAAACUGAUGUGUGAUAAUGCAAUGACAUACAACAGACCAGACACUGUGUACUACAAGUUAGCUAAGAAGAUCCUUCACGCAGGCUUUAAGAUGAUGAGCAAAGAGCGGCUGUUAGCUUUGAAGUGCAGCAUGUCGUUUAUGCAGGACAUGGAUUUUUCUCAGCAGGCAGCUCUUCUGGGCAACGAAGACACAGCUGUUGAGGAACCAGUUCCCAAAGUUGUACCUGUACAAGUAGAAACUGCUAAGAAAUCCAAAAGGCCGAGUAGAGAAGUCAUCAGCUGCAUGUUUGAGCCAGAAGGAAAUGCUUGCAGCUUGACUGACAGCACAGCAGAAGAACAUGUGCUGGCCUCGGUGGAGCACACAGCAGACGAGGCUCGGGACAGGAUCAACCGACUCCUUCCAGGUAGCAAGAUGGGCUACCUGAAGAAGAGCGGAGAUGGGAGCCUGCUCUACAGCGUGGUCAACACAGCUGAGCCUGAUGCCGACGAGGAGGAGACCCACCCGGUGGACCUGAGCUCCCUCUCCAGCAAGCCGCUCCCCGGCUUCAGCUUCACCACUCUGGGCUUCAAAGAUGAGAGAAGAAGCAAAGUCACAUUUCUCUCAAGUGCCAGUACUGCACUUUCAAUGCAUAAUAAUUCUGUAUUUGGAGACUUGAAAUCAGACGAAACGGAGCUUCUGUAUUCUGCCUAUGGAGAUGAGACAGGUGUGCAGUAUGCGCUGAGCCUGCAGGAGUUUGUGAAGGAUGCUGGGAGCUACAGCAAGAGAAUGGUGGACGACCUUCUGGACCAGAUCACAGGCGGAGACCACUCCCGCAUGCUCUUCCAGCUGAGGCAGAGGAGAAAUGUCGCGAUGAAGCCAUCAGAUGAAGUAAAGACUGGGGACUCCCUAGGAGAUGGUGGCUCUGUGCUGGAUUUCAUGUCAAUGAAGUCGUAUUCUGACGUCUCUUUGGACAUCUCCAUGCUCAGCUCUCUGGGGAAAGUGAAGAAGGAGCUGGACCAUGAUGACAGCCAUUUGAACUUGGAUGAGACGACAAAGCUCCUACAGGAUCUGCAUGAGGCACAAGCAGAGCAUGGGGGCUCCCGGCCAUCGUCCAACCUCAGCUCCCUGUCUAACACCUCCGACAGGGAUCAGCACCACCUGGGAAGCCCUUCUCACCUCAGUGUCGAUAAGCAGCCAGAGGUGACCCAUGACCCGUACGAAUUUCUUCAGUCUCCAGAACCUGCAGCCUCUACAAAGAGCUAGCCUUGUAGAUAGUCAUUAAUUGUUUUUCUUUGUUUUGUUUUUAUUUUGUUUUGUUUUUAUUUGCAUGUACAGAGUUUUUGUUGUGAGACAAAGACUAUCAUGGUCCCUUGGGCCUGCAGGAAGCAGCGCAGGGAGGGGGUGAAUUGUCUCUGAUCAUGUUGGCUGCACAUGGACCUAGUGUUUCUGUAGAUAGUCCUGUGAACCUGAAGAGUGGGAACCCUAAAUAAAGGGGGUGUAAAGCUGGUGUGGUCUUUCUCUGAGCUUCGUGGUGUCAGUGAAACCCUUCUCUGCGGCCGGUGUGGGCGCACCUGUUCUGCCCCGUGUCCCCCACAAGUGGCCUUUGGGAAGCAGAGUCUGUUGGGGAUCCUGUAUAUUCUUUCCCACUGUCCCCCCACAUCCCCGCAUUUCUGAGGCAAAUCUUGGUAGGGGCCAUACAGAAGCACAUGGGGAGCCGGUCGAGCACCCUCCUGGUCCUGGACAGGCAGGGAGUUGCGUACAGCUUCCCUGUGCUUAAUUCAUAUGCCUGAGAAAGGAGUACAUUCUGCUGGAAGACUUGGAGGUCAGCUGUCUUACCAGUUACGAUGAAGUGUUAUGUCCAUAAAAUGUUUUUUAUUCUGGAUAUGUUUGCUGGAUGCCUGCUUAUAUUGGCAAAGUAUAAAGAUCUUAAUAAGAUACACAAAGAGUGUAAUUGUAUAGAAUUAUUUACAGCAUUACUAGGUGUCCACUUUUGUGUGACUUUUCAGUAAAAAUCCUUUGUCACAA